rnacentral:rRNA from 1 species
GCGAGGAGGGGAGGAAGGCUCUUGGGGUCGUAAACCUCUUUUUUCAGGGAAGAAGAAAGUGACGGUACCUGAGGAAUCAGCAUCGGCUAACUCCGUGCCAGCAGCCGCGGUAAUACGGAGGAUGCAAGCGUUAUCCGGAAUCAUUGGGCGUAAAGAGUCCGUAGGUGGCGCAUCAAGUCUGUCGUUAAAGAGCAGGGCUUAACCCUGUAGAGGCGGUGGAAACUGAUGAAGCUAGAGUACGGCAGGGGUAGAGGGAAUUUCCAGUGUAGCGGUGAAAUGCGUAGAGAUUGGGAAGAACACCGGUGGCGAAAGCGCUCUACUAGACCUGUACUGACACUGAGGGACGAAAGCUAGGGGAGCGAAUGGGAUUAGAUACCCCAGUAGUCCUAGCCGUAAACGAUGGAUACUAGGUGUUGUCUGUAUCGACCCGGACAGUGCCGGAGCUAACGCGUUAAGUAUCCCGCCUGGGGAGUACGCACGCAAGUGUGAAACUCAAAGGAAUUGACGGGGGCCCGCACAAGCGGUGGAGUAUGUGGUUUAAUUUGAUGCAACGCGAAGAACCUUACCAGGGCUUGACAUGUCGCGAAUCCCCUUGAAAGGGGGGGAGUGCCUUUGGGAGCGCGAACACAGGUGGUGCAUGGCUGUCGUCAGCUCGUGUCGUGAGAUGUUGGGUUAAGUCCCGCAACGAGCGCAACCCUCGUCCUAAGUUGCCAGCAUUAAGUUGGGCACUCUGAGGAGACUGCCGGUGACAAACCGGAGGAAGGUGGGGAUGACGUCAAGUCAGCAUGCCCCUUACGCCCUGGGCUACACACGUACUACAAUGCUACGGACAAAGGGUUGCGAGCGCGCGAGUGCAAGCUAAUCCCAUAAACCGUGGCUCAGUUUAGAUCGAAGCUUGCAACUCAGCUUUGUGAAGGCGGAAUCGCUAGUAAUCGCAGGUCAGCAUACUGCGGUGAAUCCGUUUCCGGGCCUUGUACACACCGCCCGUCACACCAUGGGAGCUGGCCACGCCCGAAGUCGUUACCAACCUUUUGAGGAGGAGGAUGCCGAAGGCAGGGCUGGUGACUGGGGUGAAGUCGUAACAAGGUAGCCGUACCGGAAGGUGUGGCUGGAUCACCUCCU